rnacentral:rRNA from 1 species
UACGAAGGGGGCUAGCGUUGCUCGGAAUCACUGGGCGUAAAGGGUGCGUAGGCGGCGGGGCAAGUCUGAUGUGAAAUCCCGGGGCUCAACUCCGGAACUGCAUUGGAUACUGCCUUGCUAGAGUACUGGAGAGGAGACUGGAAUUUACGGUGUAGCAGUGAAAUGCGCAGAUAUCGGGAGGAACACCGGUGGCGAAGGCGGUUCUCUGGGCCUUACCUGACGCUGAGGAGCGAAAGCGUGGGGGAGCGAACAGG